rnacentral:rRNA from 1 species
CCACGGGGGGCAGCAGUAGGGAAUUUUCGUCAAUGGGCGCAAGCCUGAACGAGCAAUGCCGCGUGAACGAGGAAGGUCUUCGGAUCGUAAAGUUCUGUUGCAGGGGAAAAAGAGCGGAGAGAGGAAAUGCUUUCUGAUUGAUAUUACCCUUCGAGGAAGUCACGGCUAACUACGUGCCAGCAGCCGCGGUAAUACGUAGGUGGCGAGCGUUAUCCGGAAUGAGUGGGCGUAAAGGGUGCGGAGGCGGCCUGCUAAGUCUGGAGUGAAAGGGACCGGCUCAACCGGUACAGG